rnacentral:rRNA from 1 species
CAGCACCUCAAGUGGUCAGGAUGAUUAUUGGGCCUAAAGCAUCCGUAGCCGGCUCUGUAAGUUUUCGGUUAAAUCUGUAUGCUCAACAUACAGGCUGCCGGGAAUACUGCAGAGCUAGGGAGUGGGAGAGGUAGACGGUACUCGGUAGGAAGGGGUAAAAUCCUUUGAUCUAUUGAUGACCACCUGUGGCGAAGGCGGUCUACCAGAACACGUCCGACGGUGAGGGAUGAAAGCUGAGGGAGCAAACCGGAUUAGAGACCCGAGUAGUCC